rnacentral:rRNA from 1 species
AUGGCGACCAGCAGCAAGGAUAUGCCGUCGCCUCUGACGGAGAUCCCCGCCCACCUCCUGGUGGAGAUCUUCCUCCGGCUGCCCACCGCGGAAGACCUCGCCCGCGCCUCCGCCGCCUGUGUCUCCUUCCGCCGACUCACCACCGACGGCUCCUUCCUCCGCAGCUUCCGCCGCCUCCACGCACCACCACUCCUCGGAUUCCUCGACUACGGCAGAUUCCGUCCCGCUCUGCCGCCGCACCCAUCCGCGCCGGCAGCCCGCGCGCUCGCCCUCGCCGCCGACUUCUACUUCUCCUUCAUCGACUCCUACUGCCACUGGACCGUGCAGGACUCCCGCGACGGCCGCGUCCUCCUCGACCGCGACCUCCGACAACAUGAGCAGCCCCCGGUUUUCAAAGAUCUCGCGGUGUGCGACCCCUUGCACCGCCGCUACGUCCUGCUCCCCCCGGUACCUCACGGCCUAGACGCCUCGCUUGAGCCCCUGUUCCCCAUGGUAAGCGAGGCCCAGUGCAAGGCUUUCCUGGAUCCCCUCGGCGAGGAGGAGAUAGCGGCGGGAGAGACAACAUUCAGAGUGAUAUUGAUGGCGAAUUGCAAAACUAGUCUGGCUGCCUUCAUCUUCUCUUCAAACACAGGACAAUGGCAAGCCGCUGCAUCCAAGGGUUGGAGCGAUUUGGCCCUUGGCAAGCACGACAUGGCUGAGAUGUCAUGGGUCCACCCUUUUAUUCUCAGGCGCCAUUAUGCUUACGGCUGCUUCUACUGGGACUGGGUGGAAUUCGGGAGGAAAAAGUUACUCUUGCUUGACACCAGGAAGAUGGAGUUCUCCAUUGCUGACCUCCCGCCCGGAGAAUGGAACAAGGAAGGUUUAGCCAUUGUGGAGGCAGGGGAAGGCAGGCUUGGGAUGUUUGGUUUCCAUGGUGAAGCUACAUCCAAUCUCAUCUAUACCGUUGCACGAAACACAGGCAAGAGUCCCAGGCAGUGGCAGGUCAAGAAGACAUUCCUACUAGAUUCUGGGUACAAAUAUCGUAUCAGAGAUGCAACACAGAGGUACUUGCUCUUGACAAGGAUAGACGCCUCAUCAUCUCUAAAUGAUCGACUUACUGGAUAUUUCGCAAUGGAUGUCAAGACGUUGCAGAUUCAGAGGGUUUAUGAGAAACAGAAUUAUCGUUUGCAUGAGACAUACCCAUAUAUCAACUUUCCACCAUCAUUGCUGUCUUCAAGGAGAAUAUGA